rnacentral:rRNA from 1 species
GUAGGGAAUCUUCCACAAUGGGCGAAAGCCUGAUGGAGCAGCGCCGCGUGUGUGAUGAAGGGUUUCGGCUCGUAAAACACUGUUGUAAGAGAAGAAUGACAUUGAGAGUAACUGUUCAAUGUGUGACGGUAUCUUACCAGAAAGGAACGGCUAAAUACGUGCCAG